UACGAAGGGGGGCUAGCGUUGCUCGGAAUCACUGGGCGUAAAGCGCACGUAGGCGGGUUGCUAAGUCAGGGGUGAAAUCCUGGAGCUCAACUCCAGAACUGCCUUUGAUACUGGCGGCCUUGAGUCCGGGAGAGGUGAGUGGAACUGCGAGUGUAGAGGUGAAAUUCGUAGAUAUUCGCAAGAACACCAGUGGCGAAGGCGGCUCACUGGCCCGGGUUACUGACGCUGAGGUGCGAAAGCGUGGGGAGCAAACAGG
rnacentral:rRNA from 1 species